rnacentral:rRNA from 1 species
AGUGAACGCUGGCGGUAGGCCUAACACAUGCAAGUCGAACGGCAGCACAGUAAGAGCUUGCUCUUACGGGUGGCGAGUGGCGGACGGGUGAGGAAUACAUCGGAAUCUACUUUUUCGUGGGGGAUAACGUAGGGAAACUUACGCUAAUACCGCAUACGACCUACGGGUGAAAGCAGGGGAUCUUCGGACCUUGCGCGAUUGAAUGAGCCGAUGUCGGAUUAGCUAGUUGGCGGGGUAAAGGCCCACCAAGGCGACGAUCCGUAGCUGGUCUGAGAGGAUGAUCAGCCACACUGGAACUGAGGCACGGUCCAGACUCCUACGGGAGGCAGCAGUGGGGAAUAUUGGACAAUGGGCGCAAGCCUGAUCCAGCCAUACCGCGUGGGUGAAGAAGGCCUUCGGGUGGUAAAGCCCUUUUGUUGGGAAAGAAAAGCAGCAGGUUAAUACCCCGCUGUUCUGACGGUACCCAAAGAAUAAGCACCGGCUAACUUCGUG